rnacentral:rRNA from 1 species
GACGAACGCUGGCGGCGUGCUUAGCACAUGCAAGUCGAACGGAAAGGCCCUGCUUGCAGGGUGCUCGAGUGGCGAACGGGUGAGUAACACGUGGGUGAUCUGCCCCUUAUGUUGGGAUAAGCCUGGGAAACUGGGUCUAAUACUGGAUAGGACCAUGCUGUAGGUGGUGUGGUGGAAAGAUUAGUUUCGGUAAGGGAUGAGCUCGCGGCCUAUCAGCUUGUUGGUGGGGUAAUGGCCUACCAAGGCGUCGACGGGUAGCCGGCCUGAGAGGGUGGACGGCCACAUUGGGACUGAGAUACGGCCCAGACUCCUACGGGAGGCAGCAGUGGGGAAUAUUGCACAAUGGGCGCAAGCCUGAUGCAGCGACGCCGCGUGGGGGAUGACGGCCUUCGGGUUGUAAACUCCUUUCAGCCAUGACGAAGCCCUUGUGGUGACGGUAGUGGUAGAAGAAGCACCGGCUAACUACGUG